AGGUUAACCGUAUAGGGGAGCCGUAGGGAAACCGAGUCUUAACUGGGCGAAUGAGUUGCAGGGUAUAGACCCGAAACCCGGUGAUCUAUCCAUGGGCAGGUUGAAGGUUGGGUAACACUAACUGGAGGACCGAACCGACUAAUGUUGAAAAAUUAGCGGAUGACUUGUGGAUGGGGGUGAAAGGCCAAUCAAACCGGGAGAUAGCUGGUUCUCCCCGAAAGCUAUUUAGGUAGCGCCUCGUGAACUCAUCUUCGGGGGUAGAGCACUGUUUCGACUAGGGGGUCAUCCCGACUUACCAACUCGAUGCAAACUGCGAAUACCGAAGAAUGUUAUCACGGGAGACACACGGCGGGUGCUAACGUCCGUCGUGAAGAGGGAAACAACCCAGACCGCCAGCUAAGGUCCCAAAGUCAUGGUUAAGUGGGAAACGAAGUGGGAAGGCUCAGACAGCCAGGAUGUUGGCUUAGAAGCAGCCAUCAUUUAAAGAAAGCGUAAUAGCUCACUGGUCGAGUCGGCCCGCGCGGAAGAUGUAACGGGGCUAAACCAUGCACCGAAGCUGCGGCAGCGACACAAAGUGUUGUUGGGUAGGGGAGCGUUCUGUAAGCCUGCGAAGGUGUACUGUGAGGUAUGCUGGAGGUAUCAGAAGUGCGAAUGCUGACAUAAGUAACGAUAAUGCGGGUGAAAAACCCGCACGCCGGAAGACCAAGGGUUCCUGUCCAACGUUAAUCGGGGCAGGGUGAGUCGACCCCUAAGGCGAGGCUGAAAAGCGUAGUCGAUGGGAAACGGGUUAAUAUUCCCGUACUGGUGGUAACUGCGAUGGGGGAACGGAGAAGGCUAGGUUGUCCGGGCGACGGUCGUCCCGGUUCAAGCAGGUAGGCAGAGUGAUUAGGCAAAUCCGGUCACUUAAUGCUGAGAUGUGAUGACGAACCACCAAGGUGGUGAAGCAAUUGAUGCCCCGCUUCCAGGAAAAGCCUCUAAGCUUCAGGUUACCAACAAUCGUACCCCAAACCGACACAGGUGGUCAGGUAGAGAAUACUCAGGCGCUUGAGAGAACUCGGGUGAAGGAACUAGGCAAAAUGGUGCCGUAACUUCGGGAGAAGGCACGCUGGCGGUAGGUAAAGUCCCUCGCGGACGGCGCUGAAGCCAGUCGAAGAUACCAGCUGGCUGCAACUGUUUAUUAAAAACACAGCACUGUGCAAACACGAAAGUGGACGUAUACGGUGUGACGCCUGCCCGGUGCUGGAAGGUUAAUUGAUGGGGUUAGCGCAAGCGAAGCUCCUGAUCGAAGCCCCAGUAAACGGCGGCCGUAACUAUAACGGUCCUAAGGUAGCGAAAUUCCUUGUCGGGUAAGUUCCGACCUGCACGAAUGGCGUAAUGAUGGCCAGGCUGUCUCCACCCGAGACUCAGUGAAAUUGAACUCGCUGUGAAGAUGCAGUGUACCCGCGGCAAGACGGAAAGACCCCGUGAACCUUUACUAUAGCUUGACACUGAACAUUGAGCCUUGAUGUGUAGGAUAGGUGGGAGGCUUUGAAGUGUGGACGCCAGUCUGCAUGGAGCCAACCUUGAAAUACCACCCUUUAACGUUUGAUGUUCUAACCUAGGCCCAUAAACUGGGUCGGGGACCGUGUCUGGUGGGUAGUUUGACUGGGGCGGUCUCCUCCUAAAGAGUAACGGAGGAGCACGAAGGUUGGCUAAGCAUGGUCGGACAUCAUGCGGUUAGUGCAAAGGCAUAAGCCAGCUUGACUGCGAGAGUGACGGCUCGAGCAGGUACGAAAGUAGGUCUUAGUGAUCCGGUGGUUCUGAAUGGAAGGGCCAUCGCUCAACGGAUAAAAGGUACUCCGGGGAUAACAGGCUGAUACCGCCCAAGAGUUCAUAUCGACGGCGGUGUUUGGCACCUCGAUGUCGGCUCAUCACAUCCUGGGGCUGAAGUAGGUCCCAAGGGUAUGGCUGUUCGCCAUUUAAAGUGGUACGCGAGCUGGGUUUAGAACGUCGUGAGACAGUUCGGUCCCUAUCUGCCGUGGGCGUUGGAAGAUUGAGAGGGGUUGCUCCUAGUACGAGAGGACCGGAGUGAACGCACCACUGGUGUUCGGGUUGUCAUGCCAAUGGCAUUGCCCGGUAGCUAAGUGCGGAAGAGAUAACCGCUGAAAGCAUCUAAGCGGGAAACUUGCCUCGAGAUGAGUCUUCCCUGUCGCUUUAAGCGACCUAAAGGAACGUUUAAGACUAAGACGUUGAUAGGCUGGGUGUGUAAGCGUAGCGAUACGUUGAGCUAACCAGUACUAAUGAACCGUGAGGCUUAACCUG
rnacentral:rRNA from 1 species